rnacentral:piRNA from 1 species
CACGGAACCAGAACGUGUAUCGC